UACGUAGGGUGCAAGCGUUAAUCGGAAUUACUGGGCGUAAAGCGUGCGCAGGCGGUUUUGUAAGUCUGUUGUGAAAUCCCCGGGCUCAACCUGGGAAUGGCAAUGGAGACUGCAAGGCUAGAGUUUGGCAGAGGGGGGUAGAAUUCCACGUGUAGCAGUGGAAAUGCGUAGAGAUGUGGAGGAACACCGAUGGCGAAGGCAACCCCCUGGGUCAAACUGACGCUCAUGACACGAAAGCGUGGGGAGCAACAGG
rnacentral:rRNA from 1 species